CCCCCAACAAAACAUGUUAAACAAAUCAAAAAUAUAUUUUUAUAUUUGAGAUUCUUCAAAGUAGCCACUGGCUUGCCUUGAUGACAGCGUUGCUGUGUCCAAACCUUUUUGACUGGUACUGUAAACGGUGUAGACAAGGGACUCGACAAUAAUGGAAUAAGAACCAGGUCUGUUGUGUCAUUUUAAAAGCUGACAUUCUAUAGCCUGGUUCCAGGUCUGUUGUGUCGUUUUAAAGGCUGACAUUCUAUAGCCUGGUUCCAGGUCUGUUGUGUUGUUUUAAAGGCUGACAUUCUAUAGCCUGGUUCCAGGUCUGUUGUGUCGUUUUAAAGGCUGACAUUCUAUAGCCUGGUUCCAGGUCUGUUGUGUCGUUUUAAAGGCUGACAUUCUAUAGCCUGGUUCCAGGUCUGUUUGUACUGUGUAAAGUAGCAAAACAGCACAAACCAAUCUGGGACCAGGCUAGAUGUUUUAAAUUUGAUGUAAGGUAUUUGGUAUUGGUAUUUAUUAGCCGUUGUCGAAAGCAGCAGCUAGUUUUCCUGGGAUCCAGAGCUUUUUUAUUUCCAGGGAUGAGGUGAUAGGAUCAUUUAAACUGCUAAAAUGAUGCCCCUCACAAUAACAAAGGGUUUCUUUCAGCUGCGACGACUGACUGCCAUUCAUAUUAUAACAGAUGCUUAACACUGCUUUCAGGUUGCAAUCCAGGCUAAUAGCUUGUAUAAUAUAUAAUAAUAUGCCACGUUUCUUUGUCACCUGUGUGUAUAUAUAUUUUACGUACGGGUGGUCCCAGACAUUGAACCAACUACCCUGGCAUUACAAGAGCCAUGCUCAACCAACCUGUUUGAACACUGGCUGUAUAUGGCCACGUUGAUGACUUCUACAUAACAUGAUGAGUCUGCUUUGAUUUUGUAGAGGAAACAAGUUGUUUUACAAGUUGAAGAUUACAAUUUUUAUUCACCUGUAAUCUGUCUCCUGUUGUAGCUGUACAUACCGAUAUUUGAUCUAAUCUGUCUCCUGUUGUAGCUGUACAUACCGAUAUUUGAUCUAAUCUGUCUCCUGUUGUAGCUGUACAUACCGAUAUUUGAUCUAAUCUGUCUCCACUUGUAGCUGUACAUACCGAUAUUUGAUCUAAUCUGUCUCCACUUGUAGCUGUAUCUACAGAUUAGUGUUGCACCGAUAUUACAUUUUUUGGCCGAUACCGAUA